rnacentral:misc_RNA from 1 species
AGAAGCAUAAUACACAGAAAGAGGCGUCUCGUGUCACCAACGGUGGUCUCUACGACCAAGCACGACACACACACACACACACGAGGAACGCGUACACAUCCUUUAUGGUGAGCGAGGCUCUGCCAUUUGCAUGUUUUCACCCCCUCGCAACCUGCACGGUCGACUUGCUUGCAGGUCUUUCCUCAACGCCACCCCGCGCAAGACCUGGCAUCCCUAUGCAAGGCACCUCCGCCGCCAGCCCCCCCCCUUCAAUAUCAGCUGCUCGGAUGCCACCCAUUGAUGACGGGGAACACCUCACUGUUGCACCUCAGGGUUCAUUACCCAACUCCGUGGAGUCCCCAAGCGGCCUCUCCACCCCUCCUAUUCCUGUCAAAUGCCGAAACACCUCUGGCGGUGACAAGGUCAAGCACCUACAACCUAAAGGAGGGGGGAGGCCAGUGCAAUUCAUUGCUGCUGAUGUGGCCGGCCAGGUCCUGGACGGCGAUACGUCAGAGCGACCUGCGACCGUGCACACGCUUGUGCCAUCGAUGGGACAGGUAAAGUGUCAGCCUGACUCGAACGCAUCUCACCCGGCCCUCGCACUGCCUGCCGAUGUGGGGAGCCUACGUGUUUUCACUCCAAGGGAUGCCCCAGACGGGGACCGGCACAAUGGGUGGCGCGGCUGUGCGGCGACCUGCAGAGCGGAUGCUGAGUAGAGAGUGUGAGGCAGGUGCCGUGCUCCGAUGAUUGAGUCGGCGCAUUGCUGUAGCGCGCGUCUACCGCCGCUUCGCGCCACGCGAUGUGGUGGCUGUAACAGGCCGGUAGUAGAGUGGGGUUCGACCUCACGUUGUGUGUGGCAGAGAAGCAGGAACGUUGAAAACAGAGGCAAUGCGCGUGUGCGCCGCCUCACGCUCCCUUUCUUCACCGCCAUCGAUUUGCCCCCUCCCUCCCCGUGUGCCCUCUGCCCCGUUAAUCUUGCAUUCCGCUUUCUCUAUUCCGUGCACCGUGCACAAAA